AGACAAGAGAAAAAAAGGGAACAUUAAUAGCUUGUUUUGUGUCAUAGGAAUUUCAAUUGUAGGUCAUUGGAGAAAACAUGAUAACAUGGGAUUGAUCGAUAACUUAAUAAAUUUGGAAGUACUUCCUUAUAAAAAAUAGCAGAUGCGAUAUAUUAUGCUCUUCUCUUGUAAUCUUUAAUUAUUACGAGAAUCGUUUUUUGAGAGAGGAAUGAAAUGGAGUGAAUGGAGAAUUUAAUCCUAUGUUCAUAUUCAAUAUUCAACGAAUCAAUAUCGUAAAAACCUAGUCCUAUGGAAACUCGAGAAAGCGUGAAACCGAUAGUAAAAGACAAGUACUUGUGUUCUUCUGUUUUUAAUUUGUAUAUGCAACUCAAUGUAAUUUAGAUGUAGUAUUUAUAUCAUCGAAUCAUGCAUGUACAGGGAGUUCCAAUAAUGAUUACAUUUUAACAUCUUCGCUAUAAAAUAAGGAGCAAAAAGAAGAAAAAUAUUCUGAUAUUUUACAAUGUAGAUGACUUCUUGAACAACUUUAGGAAAUUUAUAUCUAUGGAGAUCGUUUAUAGCUUCCAUAAACAGGUAAAUGAAGCCUUGUGAAAAAGUAUUCUAAAUUCCCAGUAAAUAAUUUUGUUUUAGAAUUUUCAGUUUAUCAAGAAAUUUUGACGUAUGGCCAUAAACUAAUUUUAUUAAAUAACUAAAUAAUUUUGCUUGAAUCUUUCCAGUUUGCCAAGAAAUUUUGACGAAUAGCCAUAAUUAUUGAACCACCCUGUAGAUGCAUUAUUCGCCAUGGAAAGGUCUACUUCUCCAAAUGAACUUUCCCUCGAACAAUAGUAUCGAACAAAGGGGACUACGAAACAGUUCUGGAAACGAGUUUUUACUUGGUUUGCAACCUUGCUCCGCUUUGAUUCUUCGAUCGCCUCCCUCUUUUAUUCGACACGUCAGAGGCUGCCUCAAUGAUUCAUCCACCUCACGCCUCUUCUACCCUCCCCUUGGAAAGGGCGAGUCGACACGCGACAUCACGUAUCAUUUCCUUAUCCACAAGUAUUCAAUGAUAAUUUCAUUCACUGUUAAAUAAUUUUUAUUAUUUAUACAUGUACCUAUAUGUAGAAGUUCAUAUACAGUGGUUGUAAGAAGUAUUUAUACGUCAUUAAUAUAUAUUAUAGUAUAUAAUAAAUAAAUACUAUUAUACUAUAUAUUAUAAUAUUUAUUAUGGUAUUAAAUAUUUAGUAUUUAUCGCAGCAUUCACAUGCUAAUUAAUUAGGCCCAAGUACGUUAAAUCUCGUACUAUUCAGUAUUCUUUUCACAUGACUAUAAAAAUUUGAUACCAUGAAAACGAAACGCAUAGAAUGUGGUAAAAAGACGCUUCGUUAGAAAAUAAGGGUAUGUUCAAAUAAUUUUUGCAGCCAC